CCCUUAGAUGUUCUGGGCCGCACGCGCGCUACACUGAUGCAUUCAACGAGUCUAAAACCUGCUCUGAUAGGGGUGGGUAAUCUUUUGAAUGUGCAUCGUGAUUGGGAUAGAUGAUUGCAAUUUUUCAUCUUCAACGAGGAAUGCCUAGUAAACGCAAGUCAUCAGCUUGCAUUGGUUACGUCCCUGCCCUUUGUACACACCGCCCGUCGCUCCUACCGAUUGAAUGAUCCGAUGAAUAUCAUGGAUUGAGGAUGCAAGCAGGUUCGCCUGUCUUCAUCUUCGAGAAGUGAAGUAAAUCUUAUCAUUUAGAGGAAGGAGAAGUCGUAACA
rnacentral:rRNA from 1 species